UGGGGAAUAUUGGACAAUGGGGGGAAACCCUGAUCCAGCGACGCCGCGUGAGUGAAGAAGUAUUUUCGGUAUGUAAAGCUCUAUCAGCAGGGAAGAUAAUGACGGUACCUGACUAAGAAGCUCCGGCUAAAUACGUGCCAGCAGCCGCGGUAAUACGUAUGGAGCAAGCGUUAUCCGGAUUUACUGGGUGUAAAGGGAGCGUAGACGGCAUGGCAAGUCUGAUGUGAAAAUCCCGGGCUCAACCCGGGAACUGCAUUGGAAACUGUUAAGCUAGAGUGCAGGAGAGGUAAGUGGAAUUCC
rnacentral:rRNA from 1 species